rfam:Oryza rufipogon genomic scaffold, chr10
AAUGUAUGACGCCGUUGACUUUUUAACCAAUGUUUGACCAUUCGUUUUAUUUAAAAAUUUUAUGUUAUUAUCAUUUAUUUUACUGUGACUUGAUUUAUCAUCAAAUGUUCUUUAAGCAUGAUAUAAAUAUUUUUAUAUUUACACAAAAAUUUUGAAUAAGACGAAUGGUCAAACGUUGGUUAAAAUGUCAACGGCGUCAUACAUU